UUGAGAGGGUUAGAAGGCAUGGCCUUGUUGGAGGACAUAUAUCACUAGGGUGGGCUCUGAACUUUCAAAAGCACAAGCCAGUCCCUGGGUCUCUCUUUGCCUAUGGAUCAUGAUGCAGUUCUCAGUUACUGCUCCAGUGUCUGCCUGUAUGCGGCCAUGCCUGCACCAUGAUGAUACUGGACUAAACUUCUGAAAUUGCAAGGCUUCUGUGGAUCAAGAGGAGAAAGAUAUCAACCAAGGCCAGCAGAGCAUGCUAGUUCUUAGGCAUCUAUUGCUAUGAAGUCUUCACUCAGAGUACCAGAAACCAAACGGGGAGCUGAGCUCUAUGGGCACCAGCUGCCCCAGCUGCCCACCUGAGCCCAUCAUUCCUGGGGCCCUCGCCAGUGCUCACCAUGCCCAGGGCUCCACAUAAUCCAGCUUCAAGUACAACAGGCCAAGUCUUUAAGUCACCCCUUUUCUAUUCCCUGCCCAUCCUCCCAGGAACUCCUGUACCCACAAGUACAUUUCUUUCUGCUUACUUCUCCA